AUUCUGCACAGCUGCUGCCUGGAUGAUGGACACAGCUGGCUGUGGGGUCACUGAUGCUGUGGGAAAACCAGGGCCCAGAUAGGACAGCUGCCCUGAAAUCAUCACUGGGAGCUGGGAACCAGUGCAGGCACCCGGACCAGCCUGCCUGCACCACCUGGGUGAUUCCCAGAGCACGGGAGCCAACUCAGCAGCCCUUGAUCGCUCUGUCAGUCCCACCAGCAUCCUGUGCUUCCCCCAGUCAGUCUGCAGCUUGCACCAGACUUCUGCCUGCCUCCUGACCUCGAUCAGUGGAGAUUCUGGAAUCAGCACAAAAACUAUGAAUAAAUAGAAGGCACAACUUUUGGAGAGACCUGCAUAACACUGGAGAGCAGCACUGGGAGCGAGAAGCACUCUUGUCUGUCUCCCUCUUCUUGGCACGCUCUAUUCACGCUCUGGAAUGGCGCAUUUCUGUAUAAACUUCUCAUGACUGACUUCAAGCAAGAUACAUGCAGAACCACUGAGGUGAGGAACUACUUUCUGUGGGAGCGGCAGCGUGGCUCAGAACAGCAGGGAUAAAUCUUCUCUGGAUACAAAACAAUGAAGAUGUAUGGAAGAAGAAGAAUGGAAUAAUACAUCAGCUGAAUUCAUGAUCUCCAUGAUUAUAUGACAAAAGGAAAAAACUAAGGUAGGAUUUAUUAAGAAACAUAAAAUGGCAAUCCAUUUUCUACCUUUCCAGAGAGCUGCAAACCAAAUACUUUUCCUGAGACUGAAGAUGAAACAAGAGCAACAGAUGUUGUUCCACUAUUAGCAAAUUAAUUGAAAAAUUAAUACAGGGCCUUGUUCUUAAAGAAACAGGAUCUUGUCAAAAUUCCAAAAUAGAAUCAUAGAACAUCCCGAGUUGGAGGGGACCCACACAGAUCAUAAAAUCUAGCUGCUGGUGUCACGUAGGACCACACAGAAAUCAGACCUUAUGUCUGACAGCAUUGUCCAGAACUGCAGCAAGCUCAGAGGAGUUUUAAAUAUGCCUUUGCUUAUUAGGAAGUAUUAACAUAUAUCAAAUUUAUUACUUGUUUAUUCAAAUAUUUAUUUAUUUAUUAACAUAUCUCAAAUGCUACUUUUCUUCCACUACUGUUUUUCUUUUUCAGCCUCUCAAACAAUUUCUCUGAGAUCUCAGUCUACCGUGUUUUUUCAGUCAUCUCUCAUUCAAUAAGACUUUGUGAAACACUGACUUGUUGGUCUCAGGAGGGAAGUCUUCCCUACUGUUGCCAGUGCUGCUGGUGUUUUAUGGUAACAAGGACUAAGGGGAAAACACUUGUCAGUGGAACAUCUUGAUAAACAGUCCUUUUGCUUCUACAAUUACCAUAUUUCUUCAUUACCAGGAAAUAGGCACUUGACAAACGUGAUUUCAUUGUUUACCCAUUCUGGCUUUCAAUUAGAACCAGAAAGCUAUAAUGCACAUUAGAACACUGCUUAGUUGGGUUUGAAACUAGGCAACUAAUUAAUGACUAGACAUUUGCACUUAUUUAUUUAAGACAAUCUCCAGAGUCUUCAGCGACUGGUUUUUACGAAGAUAAUGGGCUUGUUAGAAAGCUAGAGUAAUAGCAUCUCCUUUUGGAGUUUUUUCCUUGCUCUUUAAAUCAUUUGUUAUUAUUUUCAAUUUAAAUACUUUUGUCUGGGUACCAGGUAUUCAGUAUAAGCAUAGCAUUUCUCCAUGCAUGGUAGACUGGAUGUUGCAGUUUCCAUGUUUUUUACCUGUUUUUACCUGUGUUUACAGCAUUGUGGAGCUGCUGACCAAAUCAUGUUAUCUGCACUGUUUCAUUGUCAUCAUUUUUGCUUAGCUGCUCAGUACGGUUAGUCAGUUGCACUUUGUUGGGCUAUCAUCUGUUAAUUCCUUUUAUUAGUAGCUGAUACACAAACUUAGUACCAAAGUAUUGCUGAUAAGUAUUACAACAUCUCUUGGCAGAUCUUGAAGAUAAAGCACUUUAUCCAAAGUCAUUUGAGUAUCAUCUUCUCUGGUUUCAGUCAAGAACUACUAAUGAGCUACAUGCAUUUAUUCUUUUGUGAAGUCUGUGUAAGCAAAGGCUGAAAUCAUGAUCAGUCAUGACAGAAGAUUUUAUCACACUGAAACGUGCGUGCUCAGGCAUUGGAAAGAGGAGAGAACCUUAGGUGGGUGCAAUGGGGGAAGAUAGAACAACUGACUGGCAGCAUCAGCAAGUCAGACUCAGUUAAAGUGAUCAUUUGAUAAUAUCAGAUUAGGCAUAAGUUUCCCUCAUGACCUCCCAACGCAAUAACGAUACAUUUCAAGCCAGGUUUUUUUUAAUGGCUGUAAGUGAAAGCUUUUUGCCUUUUAUCUUAAGCUGGUUAAAAUUCAGGAUGACUUAUUAGAUCAAUGGACAGCACUUGUUUAUGAAACAGGGGAAGUAUAACAGCACUGCCAUGCAGUAAAUGCAUUUAUUUGCAAUUGAAAUGCACUGUAUAAAGUGUGUUCUACUUCAUAUACCUUAAGGUAUGAGGAGAGGUCAUUUUAAGCAGCCAGUAAUUAACAGCACAUGAAAAUAUAAGAAUCCAGACAACUUCUCAAAAUACAUUAGAUGCUUAAAUCUCUAUUAUUUUCAGUGAGAUUUAAGCACAUAAUUUAGAAAAAUCUGUGUUUACUUAUUAAGUUUUUAAAAAAAUUCCUCAUAUUUCUUAUCUUUCAGUUAGCAAAAAGCUACACAUGCAUUUGCGUGUUGCACAGAUUCCCAUUCACACAGUCUUUUUAAGGGUGUGUUCAUGAAUACACAUAUAAAAUGUAUGUAUAUAUGAAAAUAUGCUAUUAUUUUAUAUUAGUACAUGGCUGAGCAUAUAUGCUAACACUAUGCAAAAUAAGGUAGGCCAGCUACUAACAAAUGUUUUAAGAUAAAAGUCACAUUUUCAUCAUACUUUGUGUCUGUAUGCAUUACAUAUAUCCACUGUCCCUUUUUUAGACUUAAGUGACUCAUUUUGUUUUGAAGUUGCUCAUUCAUUUACAUAGCUGAAGGUUGUGCUGAUACCCCUCAGAAACGUAACUUCCUCACAUGAAGAACAUUUCAUAUGUUUUUAGCAUAAAUAAUGUGGUCAUUACUCCUAAGUGACACACAUUGCUUAUUAAUAGGGCUAAAAAUAACCUUUUAAAUACCCAAAAUGCAAUUAUGGAAAUAAUACAGAAAUAAUCACAACAUGACCAUUUAUGCAAUUUAAUUGAGUUAUUCAGUGAACUGCUAGAAUCAUAUGGCUGUAAGACAGCAUCAUGCUUUGCAGCCACAUCUGUUGUCAUUAAUCUAACUUCCACUGAAAUGCAUGGGAAGACAUCCUCUUGGUUCCACCAGAAAUUACACUGAUUUCUGUUGAUUUCAUUAGGAAAUGAAUUCUUAUCAACAUGCUGAGUGAAAUUCAAGACUGCAACCUCAUAAGUUACCUGGUGUUUUUUCAGAAGUUUGAUAACGGCCUGUGUCUUCCAGUUGGUCAUAAUUAUAAAACAAGAGAUUAAAUUCUGUUCACAUCACACAUUUCUGCAAGAGAAAAUGAAAUGCAAGAAGUUGAUCUUGUGAUUUGUAAUAGUUUGUUGUUAUAAUCCCUCUGCUGUUGCGUGUAAAGACAUAGAGGUUUUCAAGAAAAUGCUAAGUGUGGCACUGAGACACAUGGUUAGAGGGCAUGGUGGGGAUGGACUGAUGGUUGGAUUGAAUGAUCUUAGUGAUCUUUUCCAACCUUAAUGAUUCUAUGAUUCUGUGAUAAAUUCCUUUAUGAAGUAGACCUCAAUGAGGUAAUCUGGCUUCUUUCAAAUCACGUUUAUUUAAAAUAUAAAUCUGAAAUAUUUCUGAUAUAAAAGAAGUUAGGAAGUAUUCCCUAUGGAAAUACCCAUCCAUAGAUAUUAUUUUGAGUUACAAAAUAUACAUAAACAGUUGGAAUCUACACUUACUUUUUCUAAAGCAUCUUAUUUAUGGAGAGAAGAAGAAGUUCUGAUAGAAAACUCUGAUUUUAAAAACUGGAGUAGGGUGGGAGACAGCCUACAGCAGCUGCUGAGUGAGAAUAUCUUUUAAGACAUAGCAAAUGAUAAGUGCAUUAAGAAAUCUCAGGGGAAGAUGGGUGUGGUUUAGGAACUUAAUCAACUGAAUAUGGACUCAAGUUUCCUCCAUGGAACAUGGCCAAAGCUUUACUUCUUGAGAUGUUUCUUGACCUUGAAUGCAACUUCACUGAGACACACAACUGAAAGACCAUCAGUUUUCAGGUAGGGACACAUGUAUAUCUUGAUCUUAAUGGCAACUGCACAUGCUACAGGGAUCCUAAACUGAUAACAGGUAUAAUAAGCUGCUGUUUAAACAUGAAGGAAUUGAACUGUGAGUCACUUCUUAAGUUGCUGCACUUAAGAUAAAAAGUUCAAAAUUUCACUUAGGAUAACAAAGAACACUACAGGAAAACUUUUCACUUGAAAGAUAGUGUUGGAUUCUGCACUUUUUCAUGUAGAACUACUUCAUCAUAAUUUUAGAAUAUUUUAAAACUGAAAACAAAUUGGGCAGCAAAUUGUCCUAAUGACGUUUAAAUAUCAUAUUUAUAUGUUAUUGGAAAAUUGACAAGUUAGGAGCUACUAAAAACACCUGUGCUAUUCGAAACUGCCCACACAGUUGUCCUAGAUUUGCUUCUUCCUGCAUACAAUGCCCUCUGCAGGGCAAACUCCAUCAAGUAUAGUCUGCAUUGUUUUUUUCAUUAAGAACAUGUACUUCAAUUUUAAAAAGUAUUUCAGAGGGAGCGGAAGUUUUGAUAUUCUAGCACUGUAACUUUAACCUCUUACAUUAGAAUAGCAUUGUCCUGGACAAAAAUAUUGUCAGUAAUACAGGACAGCUGUGGUAUCUGAAUAGUUUUUAUGUUUAGCUUCUUAUUUUUAGGUCAUGAUUGGAAAAGACCUAAUUCUGGAAGCAAAGGAGAACAAAAUGCAAUAAUAGAGGUCAGUAAGUAGCCAUAAAAAGAAAGAAACAUAAAUUUAGUGGUGAAGCAGUGGAAGAAAGAUAAUGUUGCAAGAAUACAUGCAAUGGUAAAUUGUGAAAGGAGAAAGGAAAUAUACAUAUUAGUGAAGACAGAGUCAGCAGGAAGGAAUCCCAACUUUGGCCACACUGCAGCAGUAAAACUACAGAUGGACUUUCUUACCAAGGCUAUUGGAAAAGGACACAAUAUUUCUCUGAUUUUUUAUUGGGUGAGGAAAUCUUAAGUCUUUCCAUUAACUUCAUCUAACCCUUCCAGCUCCCAUCAAUGAGAAAUAAUUUUAGUUAAAUGUGAGUUUUACAGGAUGGUAUCUGAAAAAAUUGCACUGACUAUAACAUCUGCAAUGGUAGAGCAUCAGUUAGAGAAGUGAUUCUCUUAGUUUUUCCCACUCUCAGCCAAUUCUUCAUGUCAUCUUAUUCCACCUGCUAUCAAAGCCUGAAGUGCUGCUGCUGUGCACAGGCAACGGUAGCAAAAGUAGGAAUUUUAAACAGAUCCUAGAGAUUAUUCACAAAAAACAAAAAAAACAAACAAACAAACAAAAAAACCCACAACAAAACAGAGUAUUAAAAUGUGUAACAGGCAGUGCCAGAAAUCUGAAUUAUUCUAUGUUACAUACAUAAAUUAAUGCAACAAAAUCCAGUGUUUAACCUGGUUGAACUCAGACCAUUUGAUGUAUAUCCCACUUGUAGUGAAUGGCUAGCAAGUAGAAAACAGGCCAGAAAUUAUUUCCAUUUCAAACUUACAUGCACUUAAAAUAGACAAUUAAGUGGAAGAAUAUUCAUCAUAUUUGCUAGGAGUUACAAUAGUUAUUUAAAAUCAUUAAUUAAACCAUUUUGAAGGAUAGAUACAGAAACAACUUGGAGAGAAGAGAUAUAAGUAUGGAAAAACAGAGAUCAUAUUGGUUAUUAUUAAUGAAGAAAGCCAUAGUUUCCUUACCCACCCAGCCCACUCCCAGUUGUUCUGCUGUUCUGUAUUUUAAAAUGGUCAGGAAGUGAAUUUCCAUUCAGUUCUUCCUCAUAACUCCUGAUCACCUGUAACUUAACCACCCAGGCACUAACAAACAAAUAAACAGAGCUUUUACCACUGCCUUCCUUGUUUAUUUAUUUGUUUGUUUUUCCCACCCCAUAAGUGAUUAUGUGCUUGCAUGAAAGAGACAAUUUUUUAAAAUGAAAGAAUGAAACAUCUCUGGGUGAGAAACAGCUUCAGCUGUUAUGAAGUCGGUACUCCUAAGCAGCACUGCACCCUGAUGCUCAUCCAGUGUU